GUUGUAUGCUUGCUCCGCCGCCAUUGGCCAUCCGAUCAUCGGAACCCCCUGGCUCAAGCUCUCCACCGUCGAAUUCCACCCACAGUGGCUCAAAAACGCCCCCACUGAUUCGUGCGACAAAAUUUCCAAUUGGGGUGCCCAAUUUCUGAUCAACAAUCCUCGAUUCGUCUCCUUCAUUCGCUCCUCAAAUCGAUCUGGCAGCCAUUGAUGAGCUCUGAACUCUGCUUUCAUGUCCUGUCCCAAUGGCGGCCUCACAACCCAUAUGAACGCUUUCCCACUUUCCUCCAAUCCGUGAGCUAAUUCCAGCAUCUGGGUCUCGUUGAUUGUGUUUUGAGAUCCGAAUGAGAUGUACAGAACG
rnacentral:misc_RNA from 1 species